CGGCAGCGCGGGGCAACCUGGCGGCGAGUGGCGAACGGGUGAUUUUAUAUCGGAACGUACCCUGGAGUGGGGGAUAACGUAGCGAAAGUUACGCUAAUACCGCAUACGAUCUAGGGAUGAAAGUGGGGGAUUCGCAAGAACCUCAUGCUCCUGGAGCGGCCGAUAUCUGAUUAGCUAGUUGGUAGGGUAAAAGCCUACCAAGGCAUCGAUCAGUAGCUGGUCUGAGAGGACGACCAGCCACACUGGAACUGAGACACGGUCCAGACUCCUACGGGAGGCAGCAGUGGGGAAUUUUGGACAAUGGGCGCAAGCCUGAUCCAGCAAUGCCGCGUGAGUGAAGAAGGCCUUCGGGUUGUAAAGCUCUUUUGUCAGGGAAGAAACGGUAGCCUCUAAUAUAGGUUGCUAAUGACGGUACCUGAAGAAUAAGCACCGGCUAACUACGUGCCAGCAGCCGCGGUAAUACGUAGGGUGCAAGCGUUAAUCGGAAUUGCUGGGCGUAAAGCGUGCGCAGGCGGUUUUGUAAGACUGUCGUGAAAUCCCCGGGCUCAACCUGGGAAUGGCGAUGGUGACUGCAAGGCUAG
rnacentral:rRNA from 1 species